rnacentral:rRNA from 1 species
GACAGAGGGUGCAAACGUUGUUCGGAUUUACUGGGCGUAAAGCGCGUGUAGGCGGCCUUGCAAGUUGGAUGUGAAAGCCCACGGCUCAACCGUGGAAGCGCAUCCAAAACUGCAUCGCUCGAGUCUCGGAGAGGAAGGUGGAAUGCUUGGUGUAGAGGUGAAAUUCGUAGAUAUCAAGCAGAACACCUGCGGCGAAGGCGGCUCACUGGCCCGGUACUGACGCUCAUGUGCGAAAGCGUGGGGAGCAAACAGG